AACGAACGCUGGCGGCAUGCCUAACACAUGCAAGUCGAACGAAGGCUUCGGCCUUAGUGGCGCACGGGUGCGUAACGCGUGGGAAUCUGCCCUUAGGUACGGAAUAACUCAGGGAAACUUGAGCUAAUACCGUAUAAUGACUCCGGUCCAAAGAUUUAUCGCCUAAGGAUGAGCCCGCGUAGGAUUAGCUAGUUGGUGAGGUAAAGGCUCACCAAGGCGACGAUCCUUAGCUGGUCUGAGAGGAUGAUCAGCCACACUGGGACUGAGACACGGCCCAGACUCCUACGGGAGGCAGCAGUGGGGAAUAUUGGACAAUGGGCGAAAGCCUGAUCCAGCAAUGCCGCGUGAGUGAUGAAGGCCUUAGGGUUGUAAAGCUCUUUUACCCGGGAUGAUAAUGACAGUACCGGGAGAAUAAGCCCCGGCUAACUCCGUGCCAGCCGCCGCCGUAAUAC
rnacentral:rRNA from 1 species